rnacentral:rRNA from 1 species
UCCUACGGGAGGCAGCAGUGGGGGAUAUUGCACAAUGGGGGAAACCCUGAUGCAGCGACGCCGCGUGGGCGAAGAAGUAUUUCGGUAUGUAAAGCCCUAUCAGCAGGGAAGAAGAAAUGACGGUACCUGAGUAAGAAGCACCGGCUAAAUACGUGCCAGCAGCCGCGGUAAUACGUAUGGUGCAAGCGUUAUCCGGAUUUACUGGGUGUAAAGGGCGUGUAGCCGGGCUGACAAGUCAGAUGUGAAAUUCCGGGGCUCAACCCCGGACCUGCAUUUGAAACUGUUGGUCUUGAGUAUCGGAGAGG